UUUUUUCCUUGAAGGGAGGGGAAGGGGACCAGAAACUUCUUCAGUUUUUUUCCCUAGGUGUGUCUAGAUCCUAGAGCCAGACGACUGGAGAGGUGCCAAUGUAAAGGAUAAAAGAGAACCAGUAAUCAGGAUAAAACCUCUAUUGUAUUGAUGGCAGUGGUUUAGAAAUGUGAUUGACCUAUAUUGCAGCUGUAGAUAUCAAUUCAAGUGUGUGGAGAAACUGGCCAGACAGAGGGAAAUGCAAGUUAAUUCUAUUUUUAUAAGUUUGGAUUCUUCAUAAAGUAAUUUACAUUUUUUAAAUUAUCAAACUAUAAAGGUACGAUUUUUUUGGGAGAGGGAAACCUUUUUGUGUAUGUCGAAAAGGGUGGUGGUGGGUAGGGAUAAAAACAAGCUUGUUUCUAGACUCUUUGCAGAUACUAUAGUUCCUAUUGGCUUGGUUAGAAGUGUGGUUCUAUCUACUGUGCUGUUGCGAGAACAUUCCCCAGAGUCGGAGCAGCUUUUACCUUGGAAGAAAGGACAGUUUACCUAAAAUGGAGUUGGAAAGUUGGAUUGGAGCUUGUAUUCAGGAUUCAUGGUCGUUCAGUCAUCCUCUAAGGAGAAUUUAAGAAGAGCUUGGCUAGUCCAAACUUGAAAGUUAAGUUUUCUCUAGUAAACAAACAAAACAGACGAUCUUUGAUACAGUAUGUGUGUUGUGGGUGGAAUUUUAGGUGCAGUUUUAUAUGGCUUGACAUAUUUGUGGGGGUGGGGCAACAUAAUCGUCUAUAUGUUCUUCAGAGUCUCUCCCUAAACUGCAGAAACAUCCAUAACUGGAAAAAAAGAAUGUUCAGCUUCAAUCCUGGCAAGUAAUUCUCAUAAUGUAGCUUUAAAUUGUUCUUGGGGAAGUGUCCCAUUGAGUAAUUGGGAAUGUUCACACAGGGCCCAUAUAUGCAUGUAUAUACUUAAAAUGCACACCGUGCUAGAUAGAGAAUAGACAACGUUAAAACUGUAACCCAGACUAACACAAAGUAGCUUGUUUAAUUUUUUUUCCCUGUAGCAUAAAACUUACCAAAAAUACUCUCUCUCAGAAGUGGAAAGCUUCCACUAGUCCAAAUUAACAUGGACUUAAGAUAAAAAACACACAUUCAAAUCCUUUUGUAACUAUUAGGGUUGUGGUGUCUAGACACAUAUUCUGGUGCAUAUCUGUAAUUGUGGGAAUCGGUUUGAAACCUUGGAUAUAGUGGUGUGUGGCUUUUUCUUUUUUUGGCAUUUUUUUUCAGGUGCUUAAUGUAACUUAAUGCUACUGUAGAGACUUCAGAGAGAAAGAAGUUGCUUAAUGACCCUGGUGUGAUUCCUUCUGAUGGUAGCUUGUGUAUUUUUCAAACAUUUUUCAGAUCCGCCAUCAGAAUCAUAGCCCCAACGAGCCCUGAGAAAAUAUGGCCUCAUAAAUGCAGAGGGGAACAGCUUCUUGGCGAAUGAUAAGUAAAGGCAGAAAAAUUCUAAUAUUCCUUACUACCUGAUGGAAAAGGAUCCCAGAUGUUAACAAGUGAAAAUCCAAUGUGUCUACGGAAAAAAAAAAAAAAAAAAGCCAUAACCAAUGAAACUGACAAAUUUGAAGUAAUAAGCAUUGACUAUCAAUUAUCUGAUCAGAAUAUUUGCUCUAAGAAAUCUCAAUUAUAUGCAGUAAAGAGCAAAUGGCCUUCUUGAAAUACAUAAUUUCAUUAAAGUGAGUGAACAACAACUUCCACAUCAUUGCAAUUAAAUUGGAAAAAAAAUACCGGCAGAAAAAAUGCAUAUGCAAAUACAUAUAGCUUCUACCAAACUAUUUGGUAUGAAUAUUACCACCUAAAUCUUACGGAUUUGAAGAAAGAAUAUGAAUUAUUUUGAAACCACAAUCUAAUUUGGGAUCAACUUUCACUACUGUUGGAUUUGAGAGGAGGCUUGUGCUGUGUUCCACUGUUUACCUGAGACAGGUUUUCUGCACUAUUAAUGAGGAGUUUUGCUUCAUUUCAUCUGGGAGCUGAAAAAAACAAGCAGGCAUCUAUUACAGAUAAGUUUAUCAAUUAUAUCCGCAGAUAUUGCAUGUUAGGGAAAUGUACUUUUUAAAUGCUAUGAAGCAGUGGAAGCCCUAAACAUCUGAACUGGCAUUUCUCAUUCCCAGCCUUUAGCAGUGUGUGGAAUGGGUAUGAGGGACUUAACCUACCCCUGUGCCUAUUCAGGGCUGCACUUCCACUUUCUAAAUUCCUUUCUCCUCUGUGCACAGGCCACAGUUGGAUUGUGCCCAUCAUCUACAGGCAGAUGAGCAUAGCAGCAAUGCUGUGGUGCUUCCGAACAAACAUGCAAUGUAUAUCCUCCUUUGGAGGCUGAGCCUACUCUGGGCCUACAGUUUGAGAGCCUAAAAUGCUAUACCAAACAGCACAUUAUGCUGCCAAAAAACACACCUUAUUUUUCUGCUAUUUUGUAGCAUUAAAAUACAUGCAGAAAACAUGGGAUUAAAACAAAAAAAAGCUAUAAAGGUACCUGUUAAUAAAGUUACUGAUGUGCUCUAAGAAUAGACAGUUUGUCUUCAUUUUUAUUAAUAAAAAUGUGCUGUCAAUGUUCUUUGUGUGUGGUUAGCUCUGGGGCAGUGUGGUGGGGGGAUUCUUCUUUAAUCUUUCAGAAUCUUUCUCCAAGAACACCUGAUCUUAAUUGGACGGGAGCAGGAAUU